UCUAACCCAAAGCUAAAAAUUAAACUCCUUUCACCCGCAUUUCUCCAACAUGCUCCCCAAUCAGAAAACCUAAAAACCUCAUUUUCCCCGAAGCCAAAAGCAGAAACAGAUCUAACCCCAUGAAACAAUGCCGCCAGCCACAAGACCCCACCUUUGAAUCUGGAACCUCCAUGCAGGCUCCUCCGAUCUGCGAGGCUCAUAAAAGGGGGCAACCAAAACGCCGCAAAAUCAAAGGGAAGAGGGGAGAAAGAAAACUCAGGAUAAAGAAGCUUCACAUUUUUUAGCCAUAUUUCUUUCUCGCUUCCAUGUGUUUUACUUCAUUGUAGAAGUAUUCUACUGUUCUUGCAAUUGUCUUUGUAACUGAAUUUUUUGUGUGGCUAAUUCCACCAAAUUCAAAAAUAUCUUCCUCACCCUGUUAUAAAUCGAGUAUACCUCUCCAAAAUUUUCCUUCUGUGUUCCAAAGAAAUAUCUGUUUCACUAUUUCAGGAAUAUGCUUCUUGGCAAACUAAGUAGCAAUUUGCUGAAUCCAAUCCCAAAUUAUACCACAUUAAUACUUGUUCGAAUAAAGAAAAAUGAUUUGAUUUUAGCUUGGGAAAUAAGAAUGUCACUCAAUUCUUAUUUACCAAUGUGUAGUGAUUCUUAAUUAAUAUUCAUUUGUUAUCAUGAAUGAAACGUUUCGUCUCAAAUUUAGUAUGUAAAUUCGUUAUCAAAUAUAUGUUUUCCAUAUCAAGGUACUAAUUAGAACAAACAAAUAUAGGAUUAAGCUUGACGUAUGUUUGAUUUAUCAAAUAGAAGCUCCCUUUAUUGAAUUUUUUGAAGUCAUCGUUUUCUUGUUGAUCUUGUUGAACUGCAACACCAUAGAUCCAGAUCAGGGCUCUUCGAGAAGCAGGAAGGUAGUGACAUACACGAAAUCCCUUAUUUCUCUGAAUGUUUUCUGCCAUCUGGACAACAAACAAAACGAAGACAGCACACCUUCUCGACUUCUCUCGCGUCAAUAUGUAAGUCUCUUCACUCCUCAUUUUUCCUAUUCUUCAUCUUCUUUUUUCCAGUCCAUUCAUUUUCCCGCCUGAUUCACCUCCAAUCUCUGCUUUACAGUUCAAGAAACACUUAACUGCUGCAACUUAACCACAAUAUAUAUUAACCGCCAGGUUCAUCUCUAAUCUCCCUGUUCUUCCCAAGAGGUCAACCAUGCAUCCAUAAUUCCAAGUCACAACAUUUCUCUCAGGCAUUGUAUCGAACAUCUUUCGUGCAUCUCUAGUAGCGUCACCAAAUCAAACACGAUGGUGCACCUCCUCCCGGCCCAAGGCGUCACCGGCGACACCGCACUCCGCAACUUCCCCCUGCACGUGAAAAGCGCGAUCGAACAACCUCAUCUUUGGAAGAAGGUGAGUGGACGAAGGGAAGAGGUUGGAGCGGUAAACAAAUAUGCAAACUAGGGUUUGGGGCUUGGAGGAAAGGGAAGAGACCACAAUGCCAAGAGUUUGCGAGGAAGAUUAAAAGUUCUUCAAGUACCACUUAAUUAAUUUCGAUUUUGUUCAAACUUGGAAAGAUAUAUUGAAUAUCACGUAUACUUCAAAAUAACAUGUACUUCAAAAUAACAUGUGAAGGUACUUAUAACCAUCAUAUGUACUUAAAAGUGACUUUUUAUAUUCCUAACCAUCUUCUUCUCUGGUUCUAGAUUAUUAGGUUAUAAUCUUUAAAAUUUACAAGCUCCUUUGCUUUUGUGUCUUCCUACUUAUUUUAGUUUUGUUCUUGUAAAA